rnacentral:piRNA from 1 species
UGAACUGAGGAGCACAGUCCCCUGGACUGACC